rnacentral:lncRNA from 1 species
AUAUUUCUGGAGUGACUAUGACAGUUUGAAGUCAAGUGUAGAACAAACCUUUGUGCCUCUGCUCCCUCCCUCCAAAUACUAGUAUCUGAUUUCUGAUUUCUUUCCGGCUAUUCUCUGGCUAUAUUUUCCUUCCUGGCUGUUGUGCUUGGUGAUCUUCUUACCUUUUCUCAUCUGCUUUGAGAACUCUCUGAAAUUAACGAUUGGCUAAGCACAUUGGACCAAUGGCAUUUUACCUGUCUUUCCUAUGUACCUAAGAAUUACUCAAGAGUGGAAGUGUGGCCGCAAAGUUUUUCAACUUUAACAAACAGAACAGGGUAAAUUAGACUAUAUUUAAUGGUUAGAUAACUCUUGAUUUUUUUUUCUUUCUUUACACAUACAUGCAUUCAACAUAUUUUCAACCUGUUCAGUUGCCACUUAAUUCACUUAAAAUCUAGUGUUUGUAAAUUUGCUUCAAAAAAAAAGUUAUAAAACUGUGUUCCACAUCAUAAAAAGUGUGUCAACUGACAUGUUCCAAAACCAAGCCACAGAAGUCUACUUAACACAUAUUGUGAAAAAAAUUUUUCAUCCAUUCUGAAAAUUAUUUAUAUCACUGUUGCAAUAGUAGUCAUUCAACAGUUUAAAAAAAGAGACAUAGAAAAAUAGAUAUAAAUUUGUAUAGCCAUUCUAAAAGACAUCUCCAUAUACUUUUAAAGAACUUGCAACAGGCGCUCGAGCUCAAGCUCAUGGUUCAUAUGUGCUCGGCAUGGACUUAAAUGAUGGAUUUAGCCUGGGCCCUAGUCAGUAGGGAGUAGUGGGGACGAGGAAUGCUACCAGCACCAGCCCUUCUGAUGUGGACAGUGGCCACUCAGCUCCAGCCUGUAGUCACCAUGUAGGCACACAUCAUCCAGACUGCUGGCUCUUCCAGGUUCCAAAAGGAUUCACAAGUCUAAAUUUCAGCGUACAUUGUUUUAAGUCAGUGCUGGUUAAAUAAAACACAUGCAGCGCAUGAUUUCAAGCUGGGAACUGCCAUUUUGUGACCUCAAAUUAGAGAUUUAUGCCAUCCUUUAUUCUUAUUUUAUCGGGCACAGAUCUAUAAAUAGCAUUACUCUAAUACGAAGAAGUCAUACUGGCUAGCAGAGACAAAGUGUUAUGUUUUAUUUGGUUUUGACUCCAGCAUGGACCAAAAAGAAAAAUAGGAUAUUUCUCAGUGAAUUGAGUGGGAGUUAGGAUUGUAAGAGCAGAAAAUAAAAGAAUGGGUACUUAUAUACACCUAUUUAUACAGAGCUUAAAUGUUGUUCAUUUAUUCACUCAAUACAUACUUGAGCACCUACUAAGUGCCAGGUCCUGGAAACGCAUUAGUGAACUAAGCUGAUGGUACCCUCAUGGUACUUGUGAACAGAUAGUUAAUUCAGUAAUUCUUUAAUUGCUAUUGUGAUUGAUGUAUAAGGAAGAGUAAAGGCUACUGUGAGCAUGUCUAACAGACUACGGGGGGUUGAAAAAGGCUUCUCAGAGGAGGUGACAUUUCACCUGGUGCGUGGAGGCUGAGGCGGAGUUGACUAGACUGAAGAGGCCUGAUGGGAGUGAGGAAAUUCUAGCCAAGAGGACAUUAGGUGAAAAGGUCCUGGGGUAGGAGAGUGCAGGGUGCUUGGAGGGACCAGAGGGAGGAGAGCAUGACUGGAACACAUAAAAAGGAAAGAAUGGCAGGAAGAGGGUGUCGAGAAAUCCCCCUGGACCUCAAGGACACAUAGAGGUGUUUGGUCUUUUGUUAAAAGUGUCCUUGUAGCAUAGUGCCUGAGCUCUGAUGAAUUUAAAAGGAAGGAAGAAAGAGAGGGGUAUGGUAUAGGUAUAGGACUUCCAAAACGAGAAGCAGGAAGUCAUGGAAAAUGUGUUAGAUAAUUUCUUGGUGGCAACAUUGUCAUAAAAUAAUUAGUUACCAUCCUGAGGAAUGUGCUGGGAGAUAGAGGAUGAUGACAGAGUCAUCUAGGGAAAUGAAAGGAAAUUGUGUGUGUGUGUGUGUUUAUAUUGUCUCUGUGUAUGUAUGUAGAUGUGUGCUUACACACACAAAUGACAUAUCCACAUAUCUGGUGGAGUAUUUGCAAAGUGUGAGCAUGACAUGGUUAAUGAUUAUUAUCCAAAUUAGGUUUGGAGAGGAAAAUCAAAAUAAUUAAAAAAUAAUAAAAGGAUACAACACAGCAAAUUCACUGGCUGUGUUUCUAUCUUCCUUAUACUCACAAAACUAAUUUAUAUCAUCAUUAUAAAUUAAGUGUGAGAGUGUCCACUUUAUCCAGCCUAUUUGUGAAGAAAAAAGCAUCUUGCAUCUCACACCAAGAAACCAAUUCCAUUGAAUUAUGCGGAGGUUAAUACUGAUAUUCAAGGCUAAAUGAUUAGCUUCAAUCAAUACAUUAUUAUCCUUGAAUGUAGAAUUGAGAAUGAAACCACAAUUUAUAAUUUUGAGCAUGGUUUUCUUAAUGAUAUAAACAGUGUGUUUAUUCUUUAUGAAGAAAAGGAGAGAGAAAAGGAGAGAGGAAGAGAGCAGACACGCUGGUUAGAGAGAACUGAGAGAAGGAAAGUACAGGCAUUUCUUCAGGAAUAUAGUUAAUUGGGUAAUUGGGGAUCGGGUGUCACUUGAACUUAAGCCUGUGGUUAAUUCAUGGCUUAUUCUUCAGGAAUGACAUGGGCAGGGCAGUUAUUGGAAUAAUGAAUUGCUCACUUGUCCUGGGCAAAUAGAAAAUUCCCCUGGUUGAAUAAAAUUGUGGGAGGAGGCAUUUGAUAGGCUUAUUAUAGCUUAAGAGUCUGAGAGAAUGCUGUUCCUCUGACAGUCAGAAGUGAGAACUUUGGGGUACUACAUAUUUUCAGCAAAGGGGGGACGUUAACAAAUAAUUCUCAUGAAUGAGUCAUUUUUAAAAAGGCAAUUGACACUUGCUACUUAAAGCAUUUUCAAAACGAAUGUCGGAAACAGAGCUUUGUGUCACAAUUUUCAUUCAAAGUAGGGGCUGAAAUGAUAACAAGGAAUUUAAAGAGUUUUAGAGAAAAAAAAAAAA